rnacentral:rRNA from 1 species
CCGGAAACAUCAUCUACGGUGGUGGACCACAAGUCGUGGGUGAGCUUAUGGGACACCGUAGCUCCGGGGAAGGCUAAAACGCACAUGUGGAGGCUCAUUCGGAAUGGGCUAGCCGUCGGAGCUGAACUUCAGAGGAGGAAGAUCAAGGACGGGGUGCGCUGUGUAGCAUGUGGGAGGGAUGAGACCAACUACCACAGAUUUUGGGGCUGUUUCCACUCAGCGAAGUUUUGGAAGACGAUGCAAUCGGAGAUGGGCGUGCCGGUGGCGAUCCCGCCAGAGUCAGUUAGUCCCCAGACUGCAUUAUCGAAGUGGCUCUUGACGUGGUUUGCUGAGGCAUCCGACGAUGCAAAAGCUGUCCAGGUCCAAGGUGUGUAUGCUUUGUGGUUAGCUCGGAAUAAUGCAAGAGAAGGUCAAAGAAUUGAAGAAGCGGAAGCAAUUGCGAGAAGGGUUAGUCACUUAAUGGAAGAAUGGCAGUCCACACACGGACGAAAGAGCAGGCAAGUAAAUCAGGGCCAACGGGAGAAGUGGCAACCACCAGAUGAUGGGUGGAUUAAGGCAAACGUGGACGGUGCUCUGUCCAAAGUGGGGGAGAUGGGAGGCGCUGGAGUUGUGUUCAGGAACCAAGAAGGGGCGUUUUUGGGAGGAUCAUGCCAUGCUUUUCCUAGGUGCAAGGAUCCGGCAAGAGCAGAACUAUACGCAUGUAGAAGAGCAGCACAACUUGCAGCAGAGCUCAAUGUACAAAACCUUCAUAUUGAGAUGGAUUGCGGAGAGAUCGUUUGCAAGCUGAGGAGCAAGGAGAAGGAUCUAUCUGAGCUGGGACCGAUCAUCGAGGAGGUUAAGCAGCUCCUGACUUCGAGAGAACGAUGGAUGAUCACAUGGGUUAGCCGAUCUGCUAACGGUGCUGCACAUCGGUUAGCUAGGCAUGGAGUGGCAAAUAAUUUAUGUAAGGUUUGGUUACAU